ensembl:snoRNA
GCUGGAAUUAUGAUGAGUACCUAUUGCCGUUUACCCAUCUGAUUGUAUGAUGAGGAUAUUAUAAUUCUGAGAUUCCAGC